GAUGGAACAGCCAUUUGUCAGGCAAAACAAUGGAGUAUGAACAGCCAUUGUCAGGCAAAACAAUGGAGUGGAACAGCCAUUGUCAGGCAAAACAAAUGGAGGCGGAACAGCCAUUGUC